AUGGCUUCUCAGCCUUUUGGCUAACAUCAGUUAUAGGAUCUGUUCUUUUCUGCUUAUAUCCUCUGUUCAAGGACAAAAUAGUAGAUGGCUUUUGGAUCAAAGAGAAGAAUUAGGAGUUUCUCCAUCUACUCCAUAAGAACGGUGCACCCCCU
ensembl:snRNA U2 U2 spliceosomal RNA